AAGCCACACGUGAGGCUGGGCAGCUCCAAUCCUGCCAGCAACCAAACGCUGCUCCCUGGCAGCUGGAGCUGGGCUGCGGACCGAGCUGCCAGGAGGUGGGGGCACGGAGCGGUGUUCCCAGGCCGGACCCUGUGGUUCUCAGCCCCCCCAGCAUUGGGGUCUCCCCAGCACAUUGGAGACAAGGCGAAGGAGCCAGACUGCCUGCCUGACAGACGCGGAGGAGUUGCUGUGCGAUGGAUAAUGAAACAGUUUGAAGAAAAUGCACACGCCCCAUCCCCGAGAGGCUUGUUAUUUCGGAAUUAAGUGGGCGGAGACAACCUGAGAGACGCAACGGGACCUGCUCCUGCCCCAAACGUCCUGCGGGGUGGGAGCAGGAUCUGGCCCUGGAUGCAGGAAGGAGCUCACCGGUGUAAGGGCCUCCCCUGGGCGCUUGCUUGCUUGAGGAACCACAGGAUGCAACCUGCACACUGUCACCGGCAGGGAGGCGAGGAGACGGGGUGGCUUUGGGGCAUCUGCAGCUACAAGGGGCAUGGCCAGAGCGGCAUCGAAGGGAGACAUUUCCCUCCCCACCCUGAUCUCUUUCCUUCCCAAAACUAACAGCAGCACAAAGCGAAAUACAUCGGUGUUAAGAGUACAACAGGACUUUAUUAUAUGAAUUACUAUUAAACAUCUUUAAGAAAAAAAAUCACUUAUGGAAAUAAAUUCUAAAAUAGCAACACGCACACACCACAGAUUGGUUUUGUUGUUUUGUUCCUUUUAGAACAUUUUGUAGAGAAGUGAUACAAACGUCACUGAGAAUUGUACGUUUUUAUGUAAGAAAUGCAUUUUGGCUUCCAAGCCGGUUUUAGUGGCCUUCCUACUCAUUAGACCUGACUUAUUUUUUUUUAAAGGAGAUAAAAAUAAUCACUCUCCAUCCUCCUUUGAAAUGAUGCUUUGUGCCUCCAAGAUAUUUCAAAAUGGCUGCAGAGUGACAUCAUUCAGAGAGGCUUUGCCUAGACUAGGAUAUUUAAGGGCAAGUUGUUAGACCGUGUUAACAAACACAGCCCCAAGCCCCCGCGAAGCGCUGGGCUUGCACCCACCGCGUGCAGCGGACGGAGGCUGCCCAGUGACCCUGUCCCCACCACCGCCCCUAUUUCCAGCAGGCCUGACCUGCGACGUGGCCUGGAAGUGGCUCGCCCAGGGCAUGAGAGCGCAGACCAAAGCCUUAAGUGGCUCUUGUAAAAGGACAAGGAGCACGACAAACCCUCCUAGGGCCUCACCAGUGCUCGGCCAUGGGCUUGAAGCACCCACCUGGCCACGAGCACCUCGCUGCUGUUCCCCCCCCGACCCUCACGCUGCCACCAGAGCAGCCGUCGGGUGACGGCGCCGCGGGGACAAGCAGCUUCCUACCCGCAGGAGCCCGAGCUUCUGCUCCACCACCUGUCGGUGCGUCCUGCACUCACGGAGACUUAGCUGAAAGUUAAGCACUCAGUAGCUCAGAGGCGCUGGAACAUUUACAAGCUGUUCCAAUUCCAAGCUUGGUUUUCUUCCAAAAUAUGCAGAGCUGCUUUGGGCUGGGAGGGAGCGGCAGCAGCCUCCUGCUAACCUCAGAGCCAGCAGAGGACGGGGAAGUCGCCCCCUCCUUGCUUUCUGCCAGUCCCAGGCUAGGGAUAAAAGCCCCGCUCCGCUCCUGAAGGGCCUCCUGUUCCCAGCAAGAAGCCCCAGCUUCACACUUCGCCCCUGCACACAGGGGGACGCACACCCUGCCAGACACCGGUCCUAUCCUGCACGGCGCAGGGCAGCACCGUGCCUCUCCAGCACCUCCCCACGUCCCACUGCUGCUGCCACAAAGUCACCUUCGAGGCAAGGCCGGCAUCGCCUGGGACUGCUGAGCCCCCAUCUCCUACAGCCAGUGCCAAGACUCGAGGGACGCUCCUCUCCCCUUCCUUACACAGAAAAGAAGCAGACGCCAAAGCCAGGAUCAGUCCCGGGGGUGGAUCUUCUGCUGCUCCGAUUCGAGGGACUCGGACCUCGCCGGGCUCCUGGUGCAAGUGGCCUGCCUGUGACCACAGCGCCCAGGCUGGGGCAGAGCCCUGGUGCGGCCGGGAGCGCACGGGUUGUGCCGACGGCACGCCGUGCCCCCCAGCACCAUGUCCCCCAGCACCAUGUCCCCAGCACCAUGCCCCCCAGUGCCAUUUCCCCCGGCGAGGACGGCCUCGGGGCAGCGAGGCGCGGCGCUGUGGCGGCGAGGGCAGCGGCGCUCAGCAGGUGCAGCGGCUGCGCUGCUUGCAGGGAAAAAAAAUCUUGGCGUCCGCUUCAAAGGCAUGCGGGCUCCGGGGAGGAUUUGAAAAGGAGCCUGUCGGGAGCCAGAGCCUGCAAUGUGGGCUUUUGUUACCAAACCCCGCGGAGAGGCAGGGACAACAGUUGCGUGUGUGUCUGAUGGCUGGGGCUGCCGCGUCUGCCGCCUUCACAGCUCAAAUCUUGAAACAUUUGUGCUGGUUCACAGGAGCCAGAAAGUGAAACAGGCACGUCUACAGCCACCUCCUGAAUUGAGCAGUAAACAGAUUAUGCCGAUAAAGGAGAAGAAAAUGUGCUGGCGGGAGCGAUUUCUGACUUAAUGCUCGUCACUCAUUACUUACACAGGGAAGGAAUUUGUUUAUGUAAUUAUUUUUAGCCUGACAGCAUCUCUGAAUGCUGCAACGAUUCGAGCGCUGCCUCCCGGCCGCCCCUGCCCUCCCCUGGUAAAACGAGCCCCCAGGGAAGGGAGCUCUCCUGCUGCCACCCCAAGCCCCAGCCCCACGGCAGCUCCUGCAAGCCCUUGUGCAAACACUCCGUGCCGAGAACAUCUCCGCCAGCCCCAGCUGCAAACACCCGGCUCGGGCUUCCAGCCCAAAUCUGCACCUUACCUACAGCAGGGGCGUCCCCAGGCCCGCCGAGGGCCCUGCCUGGCACCUGGGGAGCACCACCAGCACGCCACCCG